rnacentral:rRNA from 1 species
AACGAACGCUGGCGGCAUGCCUAACACAUGCAAGUCGAACGAGACCUUCGGGUCUAGUGGCGCACGGGUGCGUAACGCGUGGGAACCUGCCCUUAGGUUCGGAAUAACUCUCCGAAAGGGGUGCUAAUACCGGGAAAUGUCUUCGGACCAAAGAUUUAUCGCCUUUGGAUGGGCCCGCGUUGGUUUGGCCAGUUGGUAGGGUAAAAGCCUACCAAGGCGUCGAUCCAUAGCUGGGCUGAGAGGAAGAUCAGCCACUCUGGGACUGAGACACGGCCCAGACUCCUACGGGAGGCAGCAGUGGGUGAUAUUGGACAAUCGGCGGAAGCCUGAUCCACCAAUGCCGCGUGAGUGAUGAAGGCCUUAGAGUUGUACAGCUCUUUUACCCGGGAUGAUAAUGACGGUACCGGGAGAAUAAGCUCCGGCUAACUCCGUG